AACGAACGCUGGCGGCAUGCCUAACACAUGCAAGUCGAACGAGACCUUCGGGUCUAGUGGCGCACGGGUGCGUAACACGUGGGAAUUUGCCUCGGGGUAUGGAAUAACUCAGGGAAACUUGAGCUAAUACCAUAUAAUGUCUUCGGACCAAAGAUUUAUCGCCCUGAGAUAAGCCCGCGUAGGAUUAGCUAGUUGGUGGGGUAAAGGCUCACCAAGGCGACGAUCCUUAGCUGGUCUGAGAGGAUGAUCAGCCACACUGGGACUGAGACACGGCCCAGACUCCUACGGGAGGCAGCAGUGGGGAAUAUUGGACAAUGGGCGAAAGCCUGAUCCAGCAAUGCCGCGUGAGUGAUGAAGGCCUUAGGGUUGUAAAGCUCUUUUACUGGGGAUGAUAAUGACAGUACCCAGAGAAUAAGCUCCGGCUAACUCCGUGCCAGCAGCCGCGGUAAAGUGACUACUG
rnacentral:rRNA from 1 species